GAUGAACGCUGGCGGCGUGCCUAAUACAUGCAAGUCGAGCGAACGGACGAGAAGCUUGCUUCUCUGAUGUUAGCGGCGGACGGGUGAGUAACACGUGGAUAACCUACCUAUAAGACUGGGAUAACUUCGGGAAACCGGAGCUAAUACCGGAUGAUAUUUUGAACCGCAUGGUUCAAAAGUGAAAGACGGUCUUGCUGUCACUUAUAGAUGGAUCCGCGCUGCAUUAGCUAGUUGGUAAGGUAACGGCUUACCAAGGCAACGAUGCAUAGCCGACCUGAGAGGGUGAUCGGCCACACUGGAACUGAGACACGGUCCAGGCUCCUACGGGAGGCAGCAGUAGGGAAUCUUCCGCAAUGGGCGAAAGCCUGACGGAGCAACGCCGCGUGAGUGAUGAAGGUCUUCGGAUCGUAAAACUCUGUUAUUAGGGAAGAACAUAUGUGUAAGUAACUGUGCACAUCUUGACGGUACCUAAUCAGAAAGCCGCGGCUAACUACGUG
rnacentral:rRNA from 1 species